rnacentral:rRNA from 1 species
CGUUGGAAGUUACAACCUUGAGAAUGCCUGAUCUCAUCUGAUCUCUGAAGCUAAGCUGGGUUGGGCCUGGUUACUUGGAUGGGAGACCUCUGGGAAUACCAGGUGCCACAGUGG